CCCUUGAUGAAGAAGCCACAGAAAGAGCGAGAGUGGAGGGCUGAUUUCUCUCCCCCCAGUACUGUCCCCUGCCAGGUUUCCUGCCCUCUUCACUGGACUUCAUCUCCGUACCUCCAGCAGGGACCCCCAGCACAGGGCAGAUCCUCUCACAGCUGCCAUGGCCAGCAGCAGAGAUUUGGACAGCGAGCAAGUGGUGCCCAGUGAGGAGGAUGAGGGACCAGACGUGAAAGCCGUGCAGGCCCACUACCUCCGCAGCCCCUCACCCAGCCGGUAUUCAGUGAUGUCGGAUGCUGAUACAGAGAGCAUCUUCAUGGAGCCAAUCCAUCUGUCAUCUGCUGUGGCUGCCAAACAGAUAAUCAAUGAAGAACUGAAGACAAAGGAUGCCAAUGUAGACUCAGCAUGUCCCAGGAUGUUAGAGUCUGCACGGCAGCUGAUGGUGGAAGAUCUGUACAACCGAGUUAAGCAAAAGAUUGAUGACACCAGCUUGUUUAACACACCAUGUGUGAUGGAUUUGCAGAGGGGACUUGUGAAGGACAGGCUAGAGACCCCCAGGGAUGCUGUGGAUGAAGUCUGGCCUAAUGUCUUCAUAGCAGAAAAAAGUGUUGCAGUGAACAAAAGCCGUUUGAAAAGAUUGGGGAUCACACAUGUCUUGAAUGCAGCUCAUGGUACAGGUGUAUACACAGGCCCAGCUUUCUACAACGGUCUGAAUAUCCAGUACCUGGGCAUCGAAGUGGAUGAUUUUCCAGACAUGGAUAUCUCCAAACACUUUCGCCCAGCUGCAGAGUUCCUUGAUGAAGCACUGCUGACUUACAGGGGCAAAAUCCUUGUCAACAGUGAAAUGGGGAUCAGUCGCUCAGCUGUGCUGGUGGCUGCUUACCUGAUGAUCUACCACCACAUGACUGUUUUGGAGGCUCUGAUGACUCUGAGAAAGAAGCGUGCCAUUUACCCCAAUGAUGGCUUUCUGAAACAGCUAAGGGAUCUCAAUGAGCAAUUGUUGGAAGAGCGAGAGCUGGAGCAUACUGGAAGUGAAGAAAUCACUCCUAGUCAAAGUCCUGUUGUCAGUGCAGGGACUUCUUCCCAGCCAUCUGGAGCUGGGGACUCAGAAAGUGUCAUGGGAGCCAAAGCCCACUCCAUCACAGUAGAAGAAGAGGACACCACCAGCCUGCUGGGUAGUUUAAUGAGCUCUUCAUCAGUGGAAAAAACUAGCUGGGUUUCCAAACACUCCACCCUCAUCAGUGAGGAGGAAGAGGAACACUUGUAUGAGGAAUGGAGGAAGAAACAAGGCCUGCCUACAAAGGAACCCAGAGUUAACCAUGGUAGAAGAACAUCACCAAAGUUUCUGGAUCAGGAAGGGGAACAAUCUGAGGAGGAUGUGGAACAGAGGAUCCAUGACUGGCAGUGCAGAAAUGAGAAAUAUCAAAUUGAGAGUCCACCUAGAGAGGAGUACGGAGAUGCCAGCAUGGGAGGAAAACCUUACCCACCAGGUGAAUUUCAUGAUGUUGAGAGUGUGAGCAGUUUUGAGAUUCGAACCCUAAGACAACAGCUGGAAGCCAGUAGCUUAAGCAGGAUGAGGAGGAGCCGCACAGGCUCUAUGUCUUCAGAGAGCACCUGGGACAUGUGGAACCAGAGGCUUCUGGAGAUUGAGAAGGAAGCUGCUCGAAGGUAUCAUUCUAAGAAUAAAAACUGUGGGAAGAGACAACCCCCAGAAACAGGAGAGGACAGGGAUGUGGAUGAGGAGAGUGUGCUUUCAGACAGUAGCUCCUUUUACAAUUUCUGCCAAAAGAAGAAAGACAAAUUGACUCCUCUGGAAAGGUGGAAGAUCAAGAGGAUUCAGUUUGGCUUUCACAAGAAGGAUUUAGAACCAUCAUCAUCUGGUGCACCAUCUCCAGCAGAAGAUGGCAGCCAUGCAGGUAUAGAGGGGACAGAAGGAAAGAGUUUGUCAGAUAUUAACCUGACUGCCUACCAAGCUUGGAAAAUGAAGCGCCAGAAGAAGGUGGGCAGUGAAAGCAAGGAGGAAUUUGUGGAAUUCGCCAAAAGCGAGGAUUCUGCAUCAGCUAAAAAGAAGCAGAGGCGUGUAGAGCUCCUUGAACGUACAAAGAAGAUCUUAGCAGAAAGCCAGUCCAUGUGUAGCUGGGAGACAGACAGUACGAUGAGUGGGAGUAUCCCACUGUCAGCUUUCUGGGCCUCAGAACCUUCUGCAGGCGGUGCCGAGGAUGCAGCUUCUGCACUGAGCAUGCAGAUAAAUCAUUCAUCUUUAUCACAGACCAGGAGCAAUACAGGGGCAAUGCAGCCUCAGAUGCCAAGUAUACCCCUUCCCAAACUCCCAGUCAGCCCAGGUGAUACAAUAUCCAUGGCAAGCAUUCAGAACUGGAUCGCUAACGUGGUCAGUGAAACCAUUGCUCAGAAGCAAAAUGAGAUCAUGAUGCUGUCCCGUCCAUCAUCUGUAAUGGCCUCCAUAAUGUCAGGAGACCUUGGCAGUGGUGUAGAUGAUGAUAAAGUUUAUCCUCUUUGUGCUCGAAGUAACUCAUCUCUUGCUACCUCUCAGCUUCGCCAGCAGGACAUGCACAAGGCUGAGUCUCAGCCUGUCCUGUCUUGCAAUACCUCAGCAAAUGCAAGGACAGAAAGGACUGGUUCAAACAUGAAGACAACACAGACAAGCACGCCACUGUACAGCCUCUUUGCUGAUGAGGUUGAUUUAAAGAAAAUCAGGAGGAAGGAGAAGGAGAUGCAAAUGGAAAUGAGAGAGAAAAUGACAGAUUACCAAACUGAAAAGGUGAUCAGAGACAAUAAACGGAGCACUUCAUUUAAAAAAAAGACGACCAAAGGAGAGGGCAAGGAAAUAGAAGAUGACAGAGAGAGUACAACAAACAGCCACAGGCACCCCUUGCAAGCACAUGUUGAAGGAAGUGACAGAAUCUUUGAUCUAUUCAGUCAACCUGCAAACACAGGUGUACCGAGGUCAGAGACAGAGACUGAUAUUACCAAGUGGCUCAGCAGCCUGAAAGCAGAAAGAGAGCCAUCAUCAUUUUAUGGUCAAAGCAAGAAGGCUAGAGAGAAAUACAGCAGAUCAUCCACAGUUAGAGAGAUGGAUUCUGAAACAUCCAGUUACAGAAUCUCCAGAUCCCAAAGAGAAGAGCUGGACAGCUCUUCUUCCUACGAGUCAAAAGGAGAUUCACUGAGAACCAUGUCAAGAUUUUCCUCUGCUUCUGCAAAAGAGGACAAGAAUAUGUAUAAGUUCUCAAGGUCAAGGAUCAGUGAGACAAGUUCCAGAGAAAAUUGCCCAGAGCUCCAUGUUUUCAGACAAACACUUGAACCAUCCUUUGACUCUGAAUUCCCUGAACCACCUACACAGAGUAGAGUUAGAUAUCAUGUGGAGGCAUGUGAAGAGGAAGCCACGUCAGACAUGUCAGAAUUUGGAGCUAAGAGAAAGUUCAGGCAGAGCUUUUCAAAGUCUGAAGAGGAUGGAAAGGAGGCAAAAGUGGAACAAAGUGAAGAAAGAUUUGCAUCUAGACAGUUCUCACAGUACAGGCGAACCAUGCGUGAAGAAGAGGAAGAAGAGAUGGAUGAUGAUGCCAUUAUUGCUGCUUGGAGAAACCGAGUAGAAGAAACUACAGCAAAGCUUCGGCAGCGAAGGGAAGAGUGACCAAGAUGAGAUUACAGAAACACAAGCAGAGCCACAGAGUCUCUGAAUCACUCAUCAUUAUAUUUCUGAUAAUCCUUUGUGGUUUGUAGGGCAUUUCUUGCAGAUAGUUCUAUUCUUAAUCAAAAGCGAUAAAGGGAAGAGGUCAAGUUUUGGAAGUGUUUGUGGUUUGUCAGAAAGAAGAUGCUAGUGUUAAAUGAUCCAUGUAGGUAGGAGCACAAUGUUAGAAGCUGUUAGGAGACAGACGAUGUUUCAGUAGCAAAAGCACCUCAAGUAAAAAGACCAAUCACAUCCCAUUUUGGUUAUUUCAAUUUCCUAGUCUCGUUAAAGAGUGGACAUAUUUUUUCUAGGAUCUUUUUGAUCAUAAAUGGAAGAAGCCAACGGCCUUUUCGAGGAACUUGAAGAAUGUUUCUCUCUUAAUCAGUUUUACUUUAUGCCACUGAGAAGAUACUGCCAGGUCCUUUGAACAAUGUAGAAACUCAGCAUAUGUGGAAGGAUACAUGAGAGAGAAACCCAUUUGAAGUUGGUCUGUGUGAAGUAAGGAAUAACAAAGUGAUGAAAGUAAGGAGUAAGAAAGUGAUGAAAGCUGGACAGCUAGGAGGUGAGUGUUCAAAAAGAGCUCUGAAGACAACAGGCAAAUGAAGAAGGGGACCUGCACUGGAUGGAGACAGUAAGAUAUGUAUGUAAGCUGAGGAGGCUAAUGUAAAAUAUUGAUUUCUUUAGAUGUAUAAAAAUCUGGGGAAAGGUUAUGGGGCAGCUGCUGUGGGAAGGAAGAAGAUGGUGGGAUUUACAGAAAUUACAAGUUGGUAAGAAAUGUGAAGGGGACUGGGAGAAAUGGAAAUGGUACUCAUCAUAGUAGGAGAGAGAUGAUAAAAUGACAUAUGUGCUAGACAUCUGUACUAGACUUGGAAUUCAAUGUGCAGAAGCAAGUUUGGAAGGAAGCAGAAAUAUGCCAGAAGUAAGUUAUUCCUACUGUUAACAGCUGCAUUCUUCGUCAUAAUGCUGAUAGGUGUGAGGCCAUGGCCCAUUCCCCCAUUUAGGAUUUUCAGAGCAAUGUGAUUUAUUGCAUGCAGCACUAGUUUAGACUGGAUAAUUUUAAAAGGAGUUUAGCACCAUUUUCCUUCUCUCACAGCUCCUUGAGAAAUGCUUACACGUUAGCUGUACUGGAGAACUAGGUGAAUUAUGAGACAAGAAGUUUUGCUUGGGGAUGGUUAUGUCACAUUACCUGCCUUUCCUUAAAGGAUUCAGCUAGAAUACAUUCAAUAAAGACAUUAUAACAUGAAAACACAGUAUCCAUGGCCUUCGUAAAUUUACAGACAGUCCAACAUUGAUGCAGAAAGAAUGUGAUUAACAUAGUCUAGGGCUUGGAAACAGACACUGUGUAUUCAUGUACUCCAGCAAAAUCUCUUUGUGGGCUACCUACCCAUUCUCUGGAAUUUCACCUGUCAUCUAGGAAAACGAAAGUGGGUUAAAUCUGUGGCUGUUCUAAUUGUGAAGAAAACUUUCAAAAUUGGAACUAUAUGUAACAAAUAAACAAUUCUCUAGAGAGGUGGAAGCAUAGCUCUAAAUGGUGUGUGCAUUAUCCCAGUUGUCUCAGCAAGGUGCUAAUUUGCUUGCCCAGGAGUAAUAAUUUAAAUGCUAGUAAUAUUUGUUACAUUGUUCUUCAUGUAAAAAAUGGAGAGAGGUUGUGUAUUGAGGUUGUGUAUUACCAAUACCAGCAUAAUCCACUUAAAUGAACACCCUGCCAUUUUGGCUACUCCUAGGAACAGAAAUUUUUUGGACAUGGAAGAAUCCUCCCUUUUUUUUUUUUCCAGACUGCUUUUGGUUCUUUGGUACAUUUCAACAUAUUAAGGAGCUGAUUUCAUGUUGCUUCCAUCUCUAUCCCCCUGUUACAACCAUUCAGCAGCUUCUGAGCUUGGAGUUUUCCUGUGACUGCUGUUCCCAUGCCACAGGGUGCACACACAAAUAAAAAGCGGAAAUAUUUGUGACUUCUAAAAGCAGGCAACAGUAUGAAUUCAGAUCUUCCCAGGACCAACAGGUAAAUGUUGGGAUGUCUGUGCCAAGUUAUCUUGGUAUGGUGACAUGAAAACUGUCUGAGAGAGCAGGAGAAAGGACAUCCUGUCUGUGCUUUGAACCCUCCACUCUGAAUUGCAUUUUGAAGAUUUUUAUUUAUGUGUAUCAUUAAAAUAGACAAAUUUAAUCCUUACACGAGAGUGUAGCUGCUUCCAUAUAUGAUUCAUACAUGCAGGCAGGCUGGUUUACUUCAGAUAUGUAUGCCCUGGAUGACACAAAUGUACAAUGGAAAACUAGCUUCACUGUUAACUAUGGAGAGAAUAAAACUUCUACAUAAUCAAUCAAUCAA